ACCUGUUGUCAAGAGGCUGUCAAUGGCCUGCCAGAGUUCUAUAAAAAGAACUCUUGGGCCCUGAUCCUUUUAUCUCAUAUGUGCUUAAGCUUCAUCAGAGGAAGUUUGAGUCACAAGAUUGAGAUCUUCAGUCUCAUCUGGAUCACCCUGAUAUAGUCUAUAACCUAUGGACUAAUUCUAAAAGAACUCUCUACAGCUCACCAUCUCUACUAUAAAGCUGACCUAAGAACUCUAUUCAUGUCUGCUCUGUCAAAUCCUGUCUGAUUCUUACCAUGGCAAUGUGGCAAAGGUGCAGCUCUCAUAUCCUCUGAGACCAGAAAUUUUUCCAUGUUUCCACUUUUGAUAGUAUUCCUUUUCAAGGACUUGACCUACUAAGGCCCAAUAAGACUACUGCAUGACUUCUGCUGGUAGCAAAGGGAGUCUACUCAAUUCCUCAUCUUUGAUAUUGGCAAACAGUGAUGCAAAAGAUCAGGAUUCUAGUAAGUUUCACUUCAGAACAAAUUGAAAAGAGGAAGCAGCCGGUGAAGCAGAAGCCAACUACAAGUUGGUGAAAGAGAGAACACAAAUGAGAAGUAGCAAAUGACACAGAAUUGGAGAAGUGGACACAAAAUGUAGCAUGAAGAGAAGGGUUAUGGCUAAUAGUUAUUGCAUUAAAAAUGUACUCUUAAAACUUGUACAAUAUCAUUUGUUUAAAGAUAAGGCCCCCAUUAAAACAGCAUAUUUAAAAAAUAACUUUCAUUAGUUUCAAGUGAAUAACUAAAAGCACUCAGUUGAACAGAGGAAAAAAGUAGUUUUUAAAAAGUCAAAAUUAAAAAACUCACUAAAUGGUAGCUAUUAGUAUGAAAAAAAUUACUGCACAGUGAAGAAAUUAUGUAAAUUACCAACAGAAAAUUAUCCUAAUCUGCUCCAAGCAUGUGACAAGCCAUGUUGUAUUACUCCAGCAGAUGGAGCAUGAAUUCAGAAGCAGCCUUUCUUUCAGUUUCUCCACAAAUUUAAAAAGCAACAAAAAAUGCACAGCUAAAUUGUCCUUUGUCCAAACUAAGUACACUGCAUUUUGCUAUUGUGCAGUUGUGUGUAAACAAAUUAUUCUGUCCCUGUAAACAUCACUAGAAUUUUUUGUAUCUUUUUUUAAAUUGGUAAAGACUGUAGAACUAGCACUUAGAUAUAGCCUAGAUAUAAGCAUGCACUGAAGGGAAAGACUUCAACCAAAGGAAAAGGAGGAGAGAGG